AUUGCCUCAGUAACGGCGAGUGAAGCGGCAAGAGCUCAAAUUUGAAAGCUGGCCCCUUCGGGGUCCGCGUUGUAAUUUGCAGAGGAUGCUUCGGGUGCGGCCCCUGUCUAAGUGCCCUGGAACGGGCCGUCAGAGAGGGUGAGAAUCCCGUCUUGGGCAGGGUGCCCGUGCCCGUGUGAAGCUCCUUCGACGAGUCGAGUUGUUUGGGAAUGCAGCUCUAAAUGGGUGGUAAAUUUCAUCUAAAGCUAAAUACCGGCCGGAGACCGAUAGCGCACAAGUAGAGUGAUCGAAAGAUGAAAAGCACUUUGAAAAGAGAGUUAAACAGCACGUGAAAUUGUUGAAAGGGAAGCGCUUGCGACCAGACUCGGCCCCGGGGUUCAGCCAGCACUCGUGCUGGUGUACUUCCCCGGGGGCGGGCCAGCGUCGGUUUGGGCGGCCGGUCAAAGGCCCCAGGAAUGUAUCGCCCUCCGGGGUUGUCUUAUAGCCUGGGGUGCAAUGCGGCCAGCCCGGACCGAGGAACGCGCUUCGGCACGGACGCUGGCG
rnacentral:rRNA from 1 species